UGGGUAAUUUGGGUGGGGUAAGCCUAUGGUUAGUCCCUUACACGGGGCAAGGCCACGACGGCCGGUUGGUAGGCCAAGGGGGCAAUGGGCCGAGAUCGGCAACUGGAAGCUCUGGGCUAUGGUGAUGUCUAGGGUGGGCAGUGGCGCUUAACUAGGACCCCCGCUGGAAACCCCAGAACUAGUUAAAGCGGCCCGAGAGGACGGACGCGGUGGUCGGUUGGUUAUAGGGGUAAAUGUAACUAGCUUAAGGUGCAUCCUGCGUGGAGUAGCCACGUAGUUGACUCAAAUGAAACAAAUGGUGCUGCCACUGGACAUGAAAUAAUUCAAGUUGAUAUGGAAUUGGAUAGUAAUCAAACAGUUCAAAACCCAUUAUAUUCAAAUCAAUACAACUUUGAAAAAGCUCAGUGGACAGAAGUGAAAAGAAUGAUUGAAAAGUUGAAAUUAGAGAAUAGAGAAACUCUUUAUUGGAAAUCAGAUACAAAUCUUACAGAUAAAAUGCUUGA
rnacentral:sRNA from 1 species